GGGUUGUGAGGUUAAGCGACUAAGCGUACACGGUGGAUGCCCUGGCAGUCAGAGGCGAUGAAGGACGUGCUAAUCUGCGAUAAGCGUCGGUAAGGUGAUAUGAACCGUUAUAACCGGCGAUUUCCGAAUGGGGAAACCCAGUGUGUUUCGACACACUAUCAUUAACUGAAUCCAUAGGUUAAUGAGGCGAACCGGGGGAACUGAAACAUCUAAGUACCCCGAGGAAAAGAAAUCAACCGAGAUUCCCCCAGUAGCGGCGAGCGAACGGGGAGCAGCCCAGAGCCUGAAUCAGUGUGUGUGUUAGUGGAAGCGUCUGGAAAGGCGCGCGAUACAGGGUGACAGCCCCGUACACAAAAAUGCACAUGCUGUGAGCUCGAUGAGUAGGGCGGGACACGUGGUAUCCUGUCUGAAUAUGGGGGGACCAUCCUCCAAGGCUAAAUACUCCUGACUGACCGAUAGUGAACCAGUACCGUGAGGGAAAGGCGAAAAGAACCCCGGCGAGGGGAGUGAAAAAGAACCUGAAACCGUGUACGUACAAGCAGUGGGAGCACGCUUAGGCGUGUGACUGCGUACCUUUUGUAUAAUGGGUCAGCGACUUAUAUUCUGUAGCAAGGUUAACCGAAUAGGGGAGCCGAAGGGAAACCGAGUCUUAACUGGGCGUUAAGUUGCAGGGUAUAGACCCGAAACCCGGUGAUCUAGCCAUGGGCAGGUUGAAGGUUGGGUAACACUAACUGGAGGACCGAACCGACUAAUGUUGAAAAAUUAGCGGAUGACUUGUGGCUGGGGGUGAAAGGCCAAUCAAACCGGGAGAUAGCUGGUUCUCCCCGAAAGCUAUUUAGGUAGCGCCUCGUGAAUUCAUCUCCGGGGGUAGAGCACUGUUUCGGCAAGGGGGUCAUCCCGACUUACCAACCCGAUGCAAACUGCGAAUACCGGAGAAUGUUAUCACGGGAGACACACGGCGGGUGCUAACGUCCGUCGUGAAGAGGGAAACAACCCAGACCGCCAGCUAAGGUCCCAAAGUCAUGGUUAAGUGGGAAACGAUGUGGGAAGGCCCAGACAGCCAGGAUGUUGGCUUAGAAGCAGCCAUCAUUUAAAGAAAGCGUAAUAGCUCACUGGUCGAGUCGGCCUGCGCGGAAGAUGUAACGGGGCUAAACCAUGCACCGAAGCUGCGGCAGCGACGCUGAUGCGUUGUUGGGUAGGGGAGCGUUCUGUAAGCCUGCGAAGGUGUGCUGUGAGGCAUGCUGGAGGUAUCAGAAGUGCGAAUGCUGACAUAAGUAACGAUAAAGCGGGUGAAAAGCCCGCUCGCCGGAAGACCAAGGGUUCCUGUCCAACGUUAAUCGGGGCAGGGUGAGUCGACCCCUAAGGCGAGGCCGAAAGGCGUAGUCGAUGGGAAACAGGUUAAUAUUCCUGUACUUGGUGUUACUGCGAAGGGGGGACGGAGAAGGCUAUGUUGGCCGGGCGACGGUUGUCCCGGUUUAAGCGUGUAGGCUGGUUUUCCAGGCAAAUCCGGAAAAUCAAGGCUGAGGCGUGAUGACGAGGCACUACGGUGCUGAAGCAACAAAUGCCCUGCUUCCAGGAAAAGCCUCUAAGCAUCAGGUAACAUCAAAUCGUACCCCAAACCGACACAGGUGGUCAGGUAGAGAAUACCAAGGCGCUUGAGAGAACUCGGGUGAAGGAACUAGGCAAAAUGGUGCCGUAACUUCGGGAGAAGGCACGCUGAUAUGUAGGUGAAGUCCCUCGCGGAUGGAGCUGAAAUCAGUCGAAGAUACCAGCUGGCUGCAACUGUUUAUUAAAAACACAGCACUGUGCAAACACGAAAGUGGACGUAUACGGUGUGACGCCUGCCCGGUGCCGGAAGGUUAAUUGAUGGGGUCAGCGCAAGCGAAGCUCUUGAUCGAAGCCCCGGUAAACGGCGGCCGUAACUAUAACGGUCCUAAGGUAGCGAAAUUCCUUGUCGGGUAAGUUCCGACCUGCACGAAUGGCGUAAUGAUGGCCAGGCUGUCUCCACCCGAGACUCAGUGAAAUUGAACUCGCUGUGAAGAUGCAGUGUACCCGCGGCAAGACGGAAAGACCCCGUGAACCUUUACUAUAGCUUGACACUGAACAUUGAGCCUUGAUGUGUAGGAUAGGUGGGAGGCUUGGAAGUGUGGACGCCAGUCUGCAUGGAGCCGACCUUGAAAUACCACCCUUUAAUGUUUGAUGUUCUAACGUUGACCCGUAAUCCGGGUUGCGGACAGUGUCUGGUGGGUAGUUUGACUGGGGCGGUCUCCUCCUAAAGAGUAACGGAGGAGCACGAAGGUUGGCUAAUCCUGGUCGGACAUCAGGAGGUUAGUGCAAUGGCAUAAGCCAGCUUGACUGCGAGCGUGACGGCGCGAGCAGGUGCGAAAGCAGGUCAUAGUGAUCCGGUGGUUCUGAAUGGAAGGGCCAUCGCUCAACGGAUAAAAGGUACUCCGGGGAUAACAGGCUGAUACCGCCCAAGAGUUCAUAUCGACGGCGGUGUUUGGCACCUCGAUGUCGGCUCAUCACAUCCUGGGGCUGAAGUAGGUCCCAAGGGUAUGGCUGUUCGCCAUUUAAAGUGGUACGCGAGCUGGGUUUAGAACGUCGUGAGACAGUUCGGUCCCUAUCUGCCGUGGGCGCUGGAGAACUGAGGGGGGCUGCUCCUAGUACGAGAGGACCGGAGUGGACGCAUCACUGGUGUUCGGGUUGUCAUGCCAAUGGCACUGCCCGGUAGCUAAAUGCGGAAGAGAUAAGUGCUGAAAGCAUCUAAGCACGAAACUUGCCCCGAGAUGAGUUCUCCCUGACCCUUUAAGGGUCCUGAAGGAACGUUGAAGACGACGACGUUGAUAGGCCGGGUGUGUAAGCGCAGCGAUGCGUUGAGCUAACCGGUACUAAUGAACCGUGAGGCUUAACCUUACAACGCCGAAGCUGUU
rnacentral:rRNA from 1 species